UGACUCCUUUUUCUCUGCAAAAGAAGAAAAUAUUAUUUAUUCAUUCCUAGGCCUUGCUCCUCCACCAGGAUCAAAGGAAGGGUGGAUUACUGAGGAGACUGUGCCAAAUGGUGAAGUUUCUGGAGAAGAACACAGACCUGUGGAAGACACUGAAAUAUCUGAAGUUACUGAAGAGAAUGAAGAGCACACAGAAGACAACACAGAAGCAGUUGCUGAUUCUAUUGAAGAGCCAACAGUAGAACAAGAAGAGGAAGAAGCACAGGAAGAAGAGGAGGAAGAGG